ensembl:lncRNA
CGGGGCCAGAGCUAGGAAGGUGCCACCGGAGAGGCAGAGCCACGGAGCGCGGAGCUAUCAGGUUGUGUUGCAAGAAACCAGGGUAUGUUCGCUGUGUAUGCAUCCUCUCCACCAGUCUGGCAAGAGUGCUGCACGCUUGAGCGCGCUGGAAGCUACGUUCUGUACCUUGGUUCCUUCGCCAGGAAGAGAGGGUAGGUGCCAAGCGAGGAAAGGGUGGGAAGCGGCUCGCGCUAGAGCUAGGAUUACUGUGGGCUGGACCCGCCCGCUAGGUAGCUCACUUGGGCGGAGGAGUAGGGGAAGGGAGAGGAGAAGGAGUAGGCUGAGAGAGGCUGCAGAAGCGCUCCCUGGGUUGCACAACGUGCAACUCUGGGCACGGCGGCGGCUGUGGUGUGGGGAGAGGGGCGCUUGCCCGGGAAUCCUUUGGCGGUGAUUGCUGGGCCCUUGAAGCGAAGCUGCUUUCCUAGGUUUAGAGUAGAGCGGCGGCGGAAGAUACCCCGAAGAAGGGGCAUGCUGCCCGGGGCUGCGGCAGAAGGAAGCGGGCAGCCGGUUACUGAGGAGCCAGCCGGAGUGCUCAGGUGGCACUGUUGAAACCAAGUUAAGAGUUGUCAGAAGUUAAUAGAAAAUAAAUGAUAACAGUGAAGAAACACGAUUAAGUACAGAAACCUGAAAACCCAUAGAGGCUGAAACUGAGACUUGAAUUUACUGACUUGCCCCGGAUAGAAAGCAAGCUGGAUUGGAGUCUUCUGACUCCAACUGGGACCCAUGAGGAAUGAAAUGCUGAUAGCUUCUUACUUUGGAGGACUUCUGUAGAAGGGGGGGGUGGUGGAGAGGAGAGUUCCAAAGAAUCUGAAACAAAGCUUUUUAUCUACUUGCGAAGAUUUAUCUAGUCGUGAAGAGGGAGUUUUUAGCUAACGGAAGCUGCCGCAUUGUCCCCAGGAAAUAAUGCUUUAUCCAGAAUGGAAUAUCUCCAUGAAAAGAUAUGGUGCCUUCUGCCUGUUUUGUCCCUCAUUCGCUCAGUAGUCAGUGUAGAUCCUGUCCCUUUCAAUCAGCAGCUACAUCUGGCUACUGGGUCUCUGAUGGCAUCUUAGAGCUUCUCUCCCAAUCUUCUAGUGAAGACUGAUUGACACUUCUUGGAUAAUGAGGAUUUUGUCUUAUCUUCAACAUAUAUAGAAAAUUCCUGGUUCUCCAGUGUGAUUCAAAUGUGGUCAUCAUCAGUGUCUUAUUUAAAUAAUCAGAAAUGAUAUAAAAAAAAAAACUGUCCUCAUUGUUGAGCUUCUGUUGAUGUUUUUAUUUCCAUGGAAUGUAUCAAUCCCUAACAUACCUUUCUAGAAAUACAAAUUUAUGUUUUUAUGGUCUUUAAGAAUAUAAUUUCUGAAUAAUGCAAUAGUUAAACUGUAGUGUUAUCUGUCUAAUGUUCCCUAAUCUAACUUUUUGUCUUAAGGAAAUCCAACUUGCUUUUUUAUUUGUAACUUCUGGUCUUUGUAUUUACUCUAUAUAAGAUGAGUAGCAUAAAUUCAUUUUGAAACAUUUAGAGCUGAAUUAUGUUAUCCAGAUGAAAAGAAUUGGUUUUGUAGGAAGAACAUCCAGGUUUGGGGCAUGAACCUGGCAUACAAUGUAGAAUUCUGUGUUUAUUAAGUAACAGCUACAUUGUCUGCUGGGUUUCAGGCUACCUGGGAAUAUACAUCUAACUACUGUCUGUAGUCCAGACUUCAUAUUUGAUGUUGUGACUACUUGUUUAACAGAAAUAAAAGAAAAUUCAUGGAAUUUGCCUUUGGGAAGAUUUAAAGGAAAUUUCUUUUUUAAAAGGUGAUUUUUAUUGUGAUUUCAUAUUUAAAUGACCAUCCAUAAUAAUAACAACAGUUUACAGAGAAGAGUAUUGUUAAACAAAGCCACCUACUCUUAAAGUUUUUAAAUGUUUUAAAUUUUAAUUUAAAAGUAUAAUGAAUUCUCAAAUCUUUUUUUCUUUCCCCCCAAAAACUCCCCUCUCCAACUCAGAAACAUUUAUUACAUUUACUUAUUUGGUCACUCACUACUUAUUUAUUUGUAUAUAUGAUUCCUGUAAUUCUAUGUACUAAGACUGUAAAUAAAAUAAAACCGCUGCCUUCCCAUACAUGUGCUUAGAUCUCUCUAUUUCUGCACAUGUUGGUCUCACUUUUUAUAGUCUUUCUUUUCCAUUCAUUUUAGUCUUUCCCUUCAGUCCCAGCACUCCACUCAUAGUUGUGGCAGCCAAAUUCCUAGUUUUAUUGCCUUGCCAUAUCUGUACUGCCUCAUUGUUUCAGAAACUAAGAAUUCUUUCUUCAUUUUCAGAAAGAAAAAUUCUUUCUUGCAGCUCCCUUCUCCCUGAUAGAUUAGAAGUCUAAGCACAUUGGUUAUUUCCAUUCAGUUUACUCUUUACUCCUCAAUAUUGAAGCCAAGAAUUAAAUUAAACUAAAUUUUUACUGCAAUUUGGAAUCACUUAUGAUGCCAAGAUAAGGAAGGUUUUGGUGUGGAAUUAUCAGUUAAAGUGAGAAACGGAGGCAUACUAGCACAUUAUUGUUGUUAAAUUUUUUUCUUGUUGGAAAGGACAAUAAUUAAAUGAGGCAUAUUUGCAAUGAAUAUUAUUGAUAAUUUCAUUUCAUACAACUAGUGGGUUUUCCCUUCAAAAUUUCAUUAAUAAAAACUAAUUUUAAAUUAUCAUUAGAACACAUUAUUUGGCAGGAAAUUACAAAUAAUUGAUGAGAUUUAUUAGGCUUUUAAACUAAGAAAUAUGUAUUUAAAAUUAAUAGAUUCCUACAUUUAAGAUAGAAAAUGGACAAAGCCAAAUCUAAGCAUAUAUGACCAUGGAUUUUAGGUAAUGUAUUUUUACAACAGUAUGGUAAUUUUAGAAAAAUAAAAUUAAUAAUUUUGAGAUUUUAAAAUAAUAUCUGCCUGUUUGAAAAUGAGAUUUGAAGGUUUCUUGCCUACUUACCUUUCAUUCUAUACAUCUUUUGAACUGCUUUUUAAAAAUAUAUACAUUUGGAGCACACAUUGCUUUUUUAAAAAUAUAUUUACACUUUUAAAAACUACAUACAUUAUUUGAGUCUUGUAUAGCCAUGAAAGAAUUCAGAACUGGGGAAAGAUAGUAAAAUGAAUCCCCAAUUCUCAGGUUGAAUUUUUCCCUCACAAACCAAAUAUAUUAGCAUUGUUUAUGAUUAUGGC